rnacentral:rRNA from 1 species
AUACGAAGGGGGCUAGCGUUGUUCGGAAUAACUGGGCGUAAAGCGCACGUAGGCGGAAUGUUAAGUUAGAGGUGAAAUCCCAGGGCUCAACCCUGGAACGGCCUUUAAUACUGGCAAUCUAGAGACCGAGAGAGGUGAGUGGAAUUCCGAGUGUAGAGGUGAAAUUCGUAGAUAUUCGGAGGAACACCAGUGGCGAAGGCGGCUCACUGGCUCGGUACUGACGCUGAGGUGCGAAAGCGUGGGGAGCAAACAGGAUUAGAAACCCUAGUAGUCC